CAGCCGCCGCGGGAAUACGUAGGUGGCAAGCGUUGUCCGGAAUUAUUGGGCGUAAAGCGCGCGCAGGCGGAUAGGUCAGUCUGUCUUAAAAGUUCGGGGCUUAACCCCGUGAUGGGAUGGAAACUGCCAAUCUAGAGUAUCGGAGAGGAAAGUGGAAUUCCUAGUGUAGCGGUGAAAUGCGUAGAUAUUAGGAAGAACACCAGUGGCGAAGGCGACUUUCUGGACGAAAACUGACGCUGAGGCGCGAAAGCCAGGGGAGCGAACGGGAUUAGAUACCCGUGUAGUCCCUGUCUCUUAUACA
rnacentral:rRNA from 1 species